AGCAGAGUGUCCAGAAAGGACUGGUGUGUUUGCAGCCCUCUUGGGGCAGAGGUGAGAGCCCCAGCCCGGGCCUUCACUACCCCCUCCUCCCAGCAUCCGUGCAGGCCUGCUGAGGCCCCUGCUGUGAGAAGGCUGUUCUCACGUUCCCCACAAAUAACUGAAGAGAACCCCACUGAGGACCUUAGCACAGGCCAGGGGCUGCCCUGGGAGUGGCCAGCUAGGAGGCGCAGCCCGCAGCCUGGCUCUGCCUGGCCUAUCCGCCCUCUUCCACCCACUUCCUGUUCCCAUAGCUCCUCACCACCCACAGGCAGGCCUGUCCUGGCCCACAUGGCAGGUGGACACCUCUGCUUCACACACCCUCCGUGUCCCCCAGAAGCAUCUAUACCCCCUGCAACCCCAGAACACCAGAAUCUGAUGCCAGCCCUUGGUGCACUCUGCUGUGGUAGGAAUGGACCCUCCAAGGUGCUGUGCUGGCUGGGGAAGGGACAUUGGAGCAGCAGUUGGUGGUGGUAGCCUCCCCUGGUACCCGUCUGCCGCUGCCAGGGAGCUGUCAGGACGGCUGGAAAGGUCAGAGGACCCACCCUGAGAUAAGACCCCUGGGCCCUCAGCCUCGGAUGGAACAGCCAGGCCCAGGGGAACCCGGCAGCCCGACUUGUGAAGAAACUUGCCGGCCUCCCCCAAGUCUCUGGCUGUCUCCCCCUCAUACAUCCAGGCCCACUCCCCCUCCUGGGUGAUGUCAGUCCUGCCCCGCCCCCGCGGGAGCAUGUGGCCAAAUGUGGGAA
rnacentral:lncRNA from 1 species